UCUGAUGCAUCAUCAGCGAGUGAAUUGUGAGAAGAUGAGCAUGAAAACACAAAGGCCAAAUCCAAGAAGAAAGUACAAGCUCCUCGAUUUUUCGAAGUGAAGGAUAAAUGGCAAAAGAAGGGUUUUCUAAAAAUCCCU